rnacentral:rRNA from 1 species
UACGUAGGGGGCAAGCGUUAUCCGGAUUUACUGGGUGUAAAGGGGGCGCAGACGGCGAUGCAAGCCAGGAGUGAAAGCCCGGGGCCCAACCCCGGGACUGCUCUUGGAACUGCGUGGCUGGAGUGCAGGAGGGGCAGGCGGAAUUCCUGGUGUAGCGGUGAAAUACGUAGAUAUCAGGAGGAACACCGGUGGCGAAGGCGGCCUGCUGGACUGCAACUGACGUUGAGGCCCGAAAGCGUGGGGAGCAAACAGG